rnacentral:rRNA from 1 species
AACGAACGCUGGCGGCAGGCUUAGCACAUGCAAGUCGAGCGCUGUAGCAAUACAGAGCGGCAGACGGGUGAGUAACGCGUGGGAAUCUACCCAUCUCUACGGAAUAACUCAGGGAAACUUGUGCUAAUACCGUAUACGCCCUUAGGGGGAAAGAUUUAUCGGAGAUGGAUGAGCCCGCGUUGGAUUAGCUAGUUGGUGGGUAAAGGCCUACCAAGGCGACGAUCCGAUAGCUGGUCUGAGAGGAUGAUCAGCCACAUUGGGACUGAGACACGGCCCAAACUCCUAACGGGGAGGCAGCAGUGGGAAUAUUGGACAAUGGGCGCAAGCCUGAUCCAGCCAUGCCGCGUGUGUGAUGAAGGCCUUAGGGUGUAAAGCACUUUCACCGGAGAAGAUAAUGACGGUAUCCGGGGAAGAAGCCCCGGCUAACUUCGUGCCAGCAGCCGCGGUAAU